UGAGGAAUAUUGGGCAAUGCCCGAAAGGGUGACCCAGCAACGCCGCGUGGAGGAUGAAGGUCGUAAGAUUGUAAACUCCUGUUAGAGGGGAAGAAUAACUAAGUUUGGAGCUUAGUAUGACUGUACCCUCAGAGAAAGCCCCGGCUAACUACGUGCCAGCAGCCGCGGUAAUACGUAGGGGGGUCAAGCGUUGUCCGGAUUUACUGGGUUGUAAAGGGCGCGCAGGCGGAAUGGAAAGUCAGUGGUGAAAUCCUACAGCUUAACUGUAGAACUGCCUUUGAUACUUUCAUUCUUGAGUUCGGGAGAGAGAGACGGGAAUUCCAGGUGUAGUGGUGAAAUACGUAGAUAUCUGGAAGAACACCAGUUGCGAAGGCAGUCUCUUGGUCCGAUACUGACGCUGAGGCGCGAAAGCGUGGGGAGCAAACAGGAUUAGAGACCCGUGUAG
rnacentral:rRNA from 1 species